rnacentral:rRNA from 1 species
GACGAACGCUGGCGGCGUGCCUAAUACAUGCAAGUCGAGCGAAGCGCCGGAUGGGUUAGUAACGCGUGGGUAACCUGGCCUUAAGUCUGGGAUACAAUUUGGAAACAGAUUCUGAUACCGGAUACUAAAGGAUGGACCUGCGAUGCAUUAGCUAGUUGGUAAGGUAACGGCUUACCAAGGCGAUGAUGCAUAGCCGGUCUGAGAGACUGAUCAGCCACACUGGAACUGAGACACGGCCCAGACUCCUACGGGAGGCAGCAGUAGGGAAUAUUGCACAAUGGACGAAAGUCUGAUGGAGCAACGCCGCGUGAGUGAAGAAGGUUUUCGGAUCGUAAAGCACUGUUGUUGGGGAAGCGGUACUCAACAAGAAAGUCACGGCUAACUACGUGCCAGCAGCCGCGGUAAUAC